GGGGCAGUCUGGCGCCCAACGUGAGGCUCGACGGGACUCCUGCUGAAACGUCUACUCGUAGCCCUGGCCAGGCAUUCAUUUGAGUCAUCGCACGGGUUGUUUCCUGAUGCCGACUCUGCAUUGAGGAUCACUGCGGCUCACCCGUCCAUAAUACAGAUCCUCGGGAGAAAGAAAAACAUUCAUCAUCAUCAGACAAGCUUUACAGGAGAAAUGCUGCUUCUACGCUAACAAAUCAGGCAUCGUCCAGGACAAGAUAAAAACCCUCCAAGACGACCUCAAGAAAAGAAGAAAAGAGUUGCAUGACAAUCCCCUUUGGACUGGAUUAAAUGGACUUCUCCCUUACCUUCUCCCCAUUUUAGCCCCGCUCCUAGGAUUGCUAUUAAUACUAUCUUUUGGCCCCUGGGCUUUUAAGAGACAACGUUAAUCAAACAGCAAGUUGAUUCUUUAAUAGCAAAACCUAUUCAAGUGCACUAUCAUCGCCUUGAACUUAUAGACCAAGGUUUUGAUUCAGCUGCACUAACUUAUGUGCAGUUUAAAGCCUACGACUGAGCUACAUCAAGGCUAUUUCGCCCUGUUCCUUGACACAAAUCUCAGGCGACUAGACGGGUAGUCAAUGAUGGGUAAAUAAGAGGAUAUACCUGGAAAAUACAGGGCAAGACGUAAGACCUCUGAUCAAAAGGGCCGAUGUAAUGCUGGGGCAAGCUCCCUUAAAAGAUACCAGGCCGACUCACAAGAGGCAAGCUCCUGGGAACACUGGCCAGGUAUAAGACCUAAAAAACCUAAGACAGGCACUGUCUUCCCAGAGAUAAGUAGCUCAAAGUAAUACUCCCAUCCCUUCUAAUAAACAGAAAAGGAGGAGAUGUUGGAGACUGUCUAGGCCUCACUGCUGGUGCAAAAACAGAAGCAAAUACUUUACUUCCUCUUACAGAUCUAAUUUUCCGAAUCUAGAGUUUCGUCCCCACCCACAAAAUGGCGAACUCCCCGCUUCUCUUCCGGGUCCUCUGCUCCCGCCGGUGCCAGCCAAGGCCGCCCAAUCACCCCUCUACACCUUCCCGCCGGCGCCACCUAAGGUCCAAUUAUCUUCUGACCCACCCCUUCCUUGCUAACCUGUAUAAAUUGAGCCUGCAAAUAAACUGUGCCAGCUAGAUCAGACAUCCUGUCUUGCUGGUCGUUCUUUGUG